rnacentral:rRNA from 1 species
GACGGAAGGUGCAAGCGUUGCUCGGAAUCAUUGGGCGUAAAGGGUGCGUAGGCGGCUUGGUAAGUCGGGUGUGAAAGCCCUGGGCUCAGCCCGGGAAGGGCACUCGAAACUGCCGAGCUGGAGUGCCGGAGGGGAGAGUGGAAUUCCUGGUGUAGCGGUGAAAUGCGUAGAGAUCAGGAGGAAUACCGGUGGCGAAAGCGACUCUCUGGACGGCAACUGACGCUGAGGCACGAAAGCGUGGGGAGCGAACAGG